rnacentral:rRNA from 1 species
UACGUAGGGGGCGAGCGUUGUCCGGAGUUACUGGGCGUAAAGCGCACGCAGGCGGUCUGUUAAGUUUGGUGUGACAGUUGGUGGCUUAACUGCCAAAGUGCUUCGAAAACUGUCAGACUUGAGGGCUUCAGAGGGACACGGAAUUCCGGGUGGAGUGGUGAAAUGCGUAGAGAUCCGGAGGAACACCAAAGGCGAAGGCAGUGUCCUGGGGAGUACCUGACGCUCAGGUGCGAAAGCCAGGGGAGCCAACGGG